rnacentral:misc_RNA from 2 species
CCUCCUUUCUAAGGAAACCAAUAAAAUCAAUCAUCUUCAGUUUUGAAAGACUUAGGAUAACUAAGUUUUUCUUCGUGACUUCACGAAGGGCCUAUAGCUCAGUUGGUUAGAGCACACGCCUGAUAAGCGUGAGGUCGGUGGUUCAAGUCCAUUUAGGCCCACCAGAGUUAUAGGUGUCGUAAGAACACAAAUUCUUUGAAAAUUAGGUAAAUAAUAGUUAUUUUUCCGGAACAUUAAAGGAAAUAAGAGCGCACAGUGGAUGCCUAGGCACCAAGAGCCGAUGAAGGACG